rnacentral:rRNA from 1 species
GCUGUUGCGGUUAAAAAGCUCGUAGUUGGAUUUGAGUCUAGUUGCGGCCGGGCUCAGGGCUUUGACUCUGGGGCGGGCGUGUAGACUGUAUGCGCGCGGGGAGGCGCAGGGGAUUUUCUCUGCGGACUCGUGUGCUUUACUUUGAACAAAUUAGAGUGUUUAAAGCAGGCAUUUUUUGCCUUGAAUACAUUAGCAUGGAAUAACGAUUUUGACUGGAGCAGGCAUGAUGUUGUCUUGAUGACUGCGCAGUAAUGAUGGAUAGGGACGGUCGGGGACAUUCGUAUUGCUCCGUCAGAGGUGAAAUUCUUAGAUUGGAGGAAGACGAGCUGAUGCGAAAGCCUUUGUCAAGGACGUUUUCAUUGAUCAAGAACGAAAGUUAGGGGAUCGAAGACGAUCAGAUACCGUCGUAGUCUUAACCAUAAACGAUGCCGACCAGGGAUUGGGGAAGGCAGUAGACUUUCUCACGACUUCCCCAGCACCCUAUGAGAAAUCUGAGUGUUUGGGUUCCGGGGGGAGUAUGGUCGCAAGGCUGAAACUUAAAGGAAUUGACGGAAGGGCACCACCAGGAGUGGAGCCUGCGGCUUAAUUUGACUCAACACGGGGAAACUUACCAGGCCCAGACAUAGCGAGGAUUGACAGAUUGAGAGCUCUUUCUUGAUUCUAUGGAUGGUGGUGCAUGGCCGUUCUUAGUUCGUGGAGUGAUUUGUCUGCUUAAUUGCGAUAACGAACGAGACCUUGGGGGGUUGCUGCGCGAGGGCGCUACUUGUUAGCGGCCCGUGCUCCUACUCCUACUGCUGCGUGUUGUAACCAGAGGAAGUUUGAGGCUAUAACAGGUCUGUGAUGCCCUUAGAUGUCCUGGGCCGCACGCGCGCUACACUGGAGCAGGCAGCGAGUGGGGGCUGCCGCCGCAAGGCGGGAGCUACCUG